ACGUAGGUGGCGAGCGUUGUCCGGAUUUACUGGGCGUAAAGGAUGCGUAGGCGGAUAUUUAAGUGGGAUGUGAAAUCCCCGAGCUUAACUCGGGGGCUGCAUUCCAAACUGGAUAUCUAGAGUGUCGGAGGGGAAAGUGGAAUUCCUAGUGUAGCGGUGAAAUGCGUAGAGAUUAGGAAGAACACCAGUGGCGAAGGCGACUUUCUGGACGAUAACUGACGCUGAGGCAUGAAAGCGUGGGGAGCAAACAG
rnacentral:rRNA from 1 species